rnacentral:rRNA from 1 species
CUCGAUGAGUAGGGCGGGACACGUGGUAUCCUGUCUGAAUAUGGGGGGACCAUCCUCCAAGGCUAAAUACUCCUGACUGACCGAUAGUGAACCAGUACCGUGAGGGAAAGGCGAAAAGAACCCCGGCGAGGGGAGUGAAAAAGAACCUGAAACCGUGUACGUACAAGCAGUGGGAGCCUCUUAAUGAGGUGACUGCGUACCUUUUGUAUAAUGGGUCAGCGACUUAUAUUCUGUAGCAAGGUUAACCGAAUAGGGGAGCCGAAGGGAAACCGAGUCUUAACUGGGCGUUAAGUUGCAGGGUAUAGACCCGAAACCCGGUGAUCUAGCCAUGGGCAGGUUGAAGGUUGGGUAACACUAACUGGAGGACCGAACCGACUAAUGUUGAAAAAUUAGCGGAUGACUUGUGGCUGGGGGUGAAAGGCCAAUCAAACCGGGAGAUAGCUGGUUCUCCCCGAAAGCUAUUUAGGUAGCGCCUCGUGAAUUCAUCUCCGGGGGUAGAGCACUGUUUCGGCAAGGGGGUCAUCCCGACUUACCAACCCGAUGCAAACUGCGAAUACCGGAGAAUGUUAUCACGGGAGACACACGGCGGGUGCUAACGUCCGUCGUGAAGAGGGAAACAACCCAGACCGCCAGCUAAGGUCCCAAAGUCAUGGUUAAGUGGGAAACGAUGUGGGAAGGCCCAGACAGCCAGGAUGUUGGCUUAGAAGCAGCCAUCAUUUAAAGAAAGCGUAAUAGCUCACUGGUCGAGUCGGCCUGCGCGGAAGAUGUAACGGGGCUAAACCAUG